rnacentral:rRNA from 1 species
CCUACGGGAGGCAGCAGUGGGGAAUCUUGGGCAAUGGGCGCAAGCCUGACCCAGCAACGCCGCGUGAAGGAAGAAGGCUUUCGGGUUGUAAACUUCUUUUCUCAGGGACGAAGAAAGUGACGGUACCUGAGGAAUAAGCCACGGCUAACUACGUGCCAGCCGCCGCGGUAAUACGUAGGUGGCAAGCGUUAUCCGGAUGUACUGGGUGUAAAGGGCGUGUAGGCGGGAAAGCAAGUCAGAUGUGAAAACCAUGGGCUCAAUCUGUGGCCUGCAUUUGACACUGUUUUUCUUGAGUACUGGAGAGGCAGACGGAAGUCCUAGUGUAGCGGUGAAAUGCGUAGAGAUUAGGAGGAACACCAGUGGCGAAGGCGGUCUGCUGGACAGCAACUGACGCUGAGGCGCGAAAGCGUGGGGAGCAAACAGGAUUAGAUACCCGAGUAGUC